GACGAACGCUGGCGGCGUGCCUAAUACAUGCAAGUUGAGCGCUGAAGGUUGGUACUUGUACCAACUGGAUGAGCAGCGAACGGGUGAGUAACGCGUGGGUAACCUGCCCAAAAGAAGGGGAUAACAUUUGGAAACAAGUGCUAAUACCGUAUAACCAUGAUGACCGCAUGGUCAUGAUGUAAAAGGUGGUUUUGCUAUCGCUUUUGGAUGGACCCGCGGCGUAUUAACUAGUUGGUAAGGUAACGGCUUACCAAGGUGAUGAUACGUAGCCGAACUGAGAGGUUGAUCGGCCACAAUGGGACUGAGACACGGCCCAUACUCCUACGGGAGGCAGCAGUAGGGAAUCUUCCACAAUGGGCGCAAGCCUGAUGGAGCAACGCCGCGUGAAUGAAGAAGGUCUUCGGAUCGUAAAGUUCUGUUAUUAGAGAAGAACACGUGUAAGAGUAACUGAUUAUGCGUUGACGGUAUCUAAUCAGCAAGUCACGGCUAACUACGUGCCAGCCGCCGCCGUAACAC
rnacentral:rRNA from 1 species